rnacentral:rRNA from 1 species
GACGAACGCUGGCGGCGUGCCUAAUACAUGCAAGUCGAGCGAAGUUUUUCUGGUGCUUGCACCGGAAAAACUUAGCGGCGAACGGGUGAGUAACACGUAAGAACCUUCCUCCUUGACUGGGACAACUAUUGGAAACGGUAACUAAUAACGGGUAACCGCAUUAACUGCAUGGUUUGUGUUUAAAAAUUUGUUUUUCUAAAAAUAUGAGAUGGCUUUGCGGUGCAUUAGCUAGUUGGUGGGGUAAAGGCCUACCAAGGCGACGAUGCAUAGCCGACCUGAGAGGGUGAUCGGCCACACUGGGACUGAGACACGGCCCAGACUCCUACGGGAGGCAGCAGUAGGGAAUCUUCCGCAAUGGGCGAAAGCCUGACGGAGCAACGCCGCGUGAGUGAAGAAGGAUUUCGGUUCGUAAAGCUCUGUUGUUAGGGAAGAAUGAUUGUGUAGUAACUAUACACAGUAGAGACGGUACCUAACCAGAAAGCCACGGCUAACUACGU